rnacentral:rRNA from 1 species
GACAGAGGCCUCAAGCGUUAGGCGGAAUUACUGGGCGUAAAGCGCACGUAGGCGGAUUGUUAAGUCGGGGGUGAAAUCCUGGAGCUCAACUCCAGAACUGCCUUCGAUACUGGCGAUCUCGAGUUCGGGAGAGGUGAGUGGAACUGCGAGUGUAGAGGUGAAAUUCGUAGAUAUUCGCAAGAACACCAGUGGCGAAGGCGGCUCACUGGCCCGAUACUGACGCUGAGGUGCGAAAGCGUGGGGAGCAAACAGG